rnacentral:rRNA from 1 species
UAGGGAAUCUUCCACAAUGGGCGGCAAGCCUGAUGGAGCAACACCGCGUGAGUGAAGAAGGGUUUCGGCUCGUAAAGCUCUGUUGUUAAAGAAGAACACGUAUGAGAGUAACUGUUCAUACGUUGACGGUAUUUAACCAGAAAGUCACGGCUAACUACGUGUCAG